rnacentral:rRNA from 1 species
GACGAACGCUGGCGGCGUGCUUAACACAUGCAAGUCGAACGGAAAGGCCCCCACCUUGGUGGGGGUGCUCGAGUGGCGAGCGGGUGAGUAACACGUGGGUGAUCUGCCCUGUACUUCGGGAUAAGCUUGGGAAACUGGGUCUAAUACCGGAUAGGACCAUGGUUUAGUGUCUCAUGGUGGAAAAAUUAUUGUUUUGGUGCAGGAUGAGCUCGCGGCCUAUCAGCUUGUUGGUGGGGUAAUGGCCUACCAAGGCGUCGACGGGUAGCCGGCCUGAGAGGGUGGACGGCCACAUUGGGACUGAGAUACGGCCCAGACUCCUACGGGAGGCAGCAGUGGGGAAUAUUGCACAAUGGGCGCAAGCCUGAUGCAGCGACGCCGCGUGGGGGAUGACGGCCUUCGGGUUGUAAACUCCUUUCGUUAGGGACGAAGCCA